CAGUGUGCCUAUACAUGCAAGUCGUACGCUUCUUUUUCCACCGGAGCUUGCUCCACCGGAAAAAGAAGAGUGGCGAACGGGUGAGUAACACGUGGGUAACCUGCCCAUCAGAAGGGGAUAACACUUGGAAACAGGUGCUAAUACCGUAUAACAAUCGAAACCGCAUGGUUUUGAUUUGAAAGGCGCUUUCGGGUGUCGCUGAUGGAUGGACCCGCGGUGCAUUAGCUAGUUGGUGAGGUAACGGCUCACCAAGGCCACGAUGCAUAGCCGACCUGAGAGGGUGAUCGGCCACAUUGGGACUGAGACACGGCCCAAACUCCUACGGGAGGCAGCAGUAGGGAAUCUUCGGCAAUGGACGAAAGUCUGACCGAGCAACGCCGCGUGAGUGAAGAAGGUUUUCGGAUCGUAAAACUCUGUUGUUAGAGAAGAACAAGGAUGAGAGUAACUGUUCAUCCCUUGACGGUAUCUAACCAGAAAGCCACGGCUAACUACGUGCCAGCAGCCGCGGUAAUACGUAGGUGGCAAGCGUUGUCCGGAUUUAUUGGGCGUAAAGCGAGCGCAGGCGGUUUCUUAAGUCUGAUGUGAAAGCCCCCGGCUCAACCGGGGAGGGUCAUUGGAAACUGGGAGACUUGAGUGCAGAAGAGGAGAGUGGAAUUCCAUGUGUAGCGGUGAAAUGCGUAGAUAUAUGGAGGAACACCAGUGGCGAAGGCGGCUCUCUGGUCUGUAACUGACGCUGAGGCUCGAAAGCGUGGGGAGCAAACAGGAUUAGAUACCCUGGUAGUCCACGCCGUAAACGAUGAGUGCUAAGUGUUGGAGGGUUUCCGCCCUUCAGUGCUGCAGCUAACGCAUUAAGCACUCCGCCUGGGGAGUACGACCGCAAGGUUGAAACUCAAAGGAAUUGACGGGGGCCCGCACAAGCGGUGGAGCAUGUGGUUUAAUUCGAAGCAACGCGAAGAACCUUACCAGGUCUUGACAUCCUUUGACCACUCUAGAGAUAGAGCUUCCCCUUCGGGGGCAAAGUGACAGGUGGUGCAUGGUUGUCGUCAGCUCGUGUCGUGAGAUGUUGGGUUAAGUCCCGCAACGAGCGCAACCCUUAUUGUUAGUUGCCAUCAUUCAGUUGGGCACUCUAGCAAGACUGCCGGUGACAAACCGGAGGAAGGUGGGGAUGACGUCAAAUCAUCAUGCCCCUUAUGACCUGGGCUACACACGUGCUACAAUGGGAAGUACAACGAGUCGCGAAGUCGCGAGGCUAAGCUAAUCUCUUAAAGCUUCUCUCAGUUCGGAUUGUAGGCUGCAACUCGCCUACAUGAAGCCGGAAUCGCUAGUAAUCGCGGAUCAGCACGCCGCGGUGAAUACGUUCCCGGGCCUUGUACACACCGCCCGUCACACCACGAGAGUUUGUAACACCCGAAGUCGGUGAGGUAACCUUUUGGAGCCAGCCGCCUAAGGUGGGAUAGAUGAUUGGGGUGAAGUCGUAACAAGAGCUC
rnacentral:rRNA from 1 species